AGAGUUUGAUCCUGGCUCAGAACGAACGCUGGCGGCGCGCCUAACACAUGCAAGUCGAACGGGAUGCAUGGAGCUGAUCUCUUCGGAGUGAAGCACCAUGUUAUCUAGUGGCGAACGGGUGAGUAACACAUAGGUAACCUGCCCUCAGGAUUGGGAUACUCCCGGGAAACCGGGCACAAUACCGAAUAUGACCCCAGGGUGAAAUGCCCAGGGGUAAAAGCUGCUGGCAACAGUGGCGCCAGAGGAUGGGCCUGCGGCCUAUCAGCUUGUUGGUGAGGUAACGGCUCACCAAGGCGAAGACGGGUAGCCGGACUGAGAGGUUGAUCGGCCACACUGGAACUGAGACACGGUCCAGACUCCUACGGGAGGCAGCAGUGGGGAAUUUUGCGCAAUGGGCGAAAGCUUGACGCAGCGACGCCGCGUGGAGGAAGAAGGCCUUCGGGUUGUAAACUCCUUUAGUAUGGGAAGAAGUCCCGAGCAAUCGGGAUGACGGUACCGUAAGAAUAAGCCACGGCUAACUCUGUGCCAGCAGCCGCGGUAAGACAGAGGUGGCAAGCGUUGUUCGGAUUUACUGGGCUUAAAGGGCGUGUAGGCGUCCUGAUAAGUCAGAUGUGGAAGCCUUGGGCUUAACCCAAGAAUUGCAUUUGAAACUGUCGGGAUUGAGUCGUGCAAGGGAGGGCGGAAUUCCUGGUGUAGCGGUGAAAUGCGUAGAUAUCAGGAGGAAGGCCGGUGGCGAAGGUGGCCCUCUGGGCAAUGACUGACGCUGAGGCGCGAAAGCGUGGGGAGCAAACAGGAUUAGAUACCCUGGUAGUCCACGCCCUAAACGGUGCGUACUAGGUGUGGGUGGCGAUAGUCAUCCGUGCCGUAGGGAAACCAUUAAGUACGCCGCCUGGGGAGUACGGCCGCAAGGUUGAAACUCAAAUGAAUUGACGGGGGCCCGCACAAGCGGUGGAGCAUGUGGUUUAAUUCGACGCUACGCGCAAAACCUUACCUGGGCUUGACAUCCCGAAAAAGCCCUAGAAAUAGGGAAGUGCUCUCUUUGAGGAAUUUGGUGACAGGUGCUGCAUGGCUGUCGUCAGCUCGUGCCGUGAGAUGUUGGGUUAAGUCCCGCAACGAGCGCAACCCUCGCCAUUAGUUGCCAGCAUUAAAGUUGGGCACUCUAAUGGGACUGCCGGUGUCAAACCGGAGGAAGGCGGGGAUGACGUCAAGUCCUCAUGGCCUUUAUGACCAGGGCUACACACGUACUACAAUGGCCGGUACAACGGGCAGCCACUUCGCGAGAAGGAGCAAAUCCCUAAAAGCCGGUCUCAGUCCGGAUUGGAGUCUGCAACUCGACUCCAUGAAGUUGGAAUCGCUAGUAAUCGUGGAUCAGCAUGCCGCGGUGAAUACGUUCCCGGGCCUUGUACACACCGCCCGUCACACCACGGGAGUUGGUUGUACCAGAAGCGGUUGAGCUAACCUUCGGGAGGCAGGCCGCCAAGGUAUGGCUGGUAACUGGGGUGAAGUCGUAACAAGGUAGCCCUAGGGGAACCUGGGGCUGGAUCACCUCCUU
rnacentral:rRNA from 1 species